GGGUGUAGCUCAGUGGCAAAGUGUUUGCCUAGCAUGUGCAAGGCCCUGGGUUCAAUUCUCAAUACCACA
rnacentral:tRNA from 1 species